CCUACGGGAGGCAGCAGUGAGGAAUAUUGGACAAUGGGCGCAAGCCUGAUCCAGCCAUGCCGCGUGCAGGAAGACGGUCCUAUGGAUUGUAAACUGCUUUUGUACGGGAAGAAACACUCCUUCGUGAAGGAGCUUGACGGUACCGUAAGAAUAAGGAUCGGCUAACUCCGUGCCAGCAGCCGCGGUAAUACGGAGGAUCCAAGCGUUAUCCGGAAUCAUUGGGUUUAAAGGGUCCGUAGGCGGUUUGGUAAGUCAGUGGUGAAAGCCCAUCGCUCAACGGUGGAACGGCCAUUGAUACUGCCAGACUUGAAUUACUGGGAAGUAACUAGAAUAUGUAGUGUAGCGGUGAAAUGCUUAGAGAUUACAUGGAAUACCAAUUGCGAAGGCAGGUUACUACCAGUGGAUUGACGCUGAUGGACGAAAGCGUGGGGAGCGAACAGGAUUAGAUACCCUGGUAGUCCACGCCGUAAACGAUGGAUACUAGCUGUUCGGGGCAACCUGAGUGGCUAAGCGAAAGUGAUAAGUACCCCACCUGGGGAGUACGUUCGCAAGAAUGAAACUCAAAAGAGUAGUAGGACGNGUAGACGAGCGACGACGACACGACGGAGGGAGAGG
rnacentral:rRNA from 1 species